rnacentral:lncRNA from 1 species
CACUAAGAUUUACAAAUUUUCCAGAGUUACAGGAGCAGCAGAUCUGGGAGGGAGACUGGCUUGGGGAGUGACAGUUCUGAAAAAGUGGACACUGUCCUCCUUGGGGAGCUAGAUGGAGUUGGGGUCAAGGAACUAUCAACACCGUCCUGCUCAUCCUGCCCAUGAUGAUGGAAAAGGAAAGUCCAAGAAGAAGUUGGGUCUGAGCUGGAGUCUGCAAAAGGGUCAUGUGAGAGGAGCCCCGAGGUGGCAGCACUAGGAGGGGAUUCUGCUUCGGAGCUUCAUGCCAACCUAUCAUCAUGAACUCUCAAGCCAAGGUAGAUCCAGCACCUGGAAGUGACCUGGUUUUUGCAUGAAUGUUUAGAAGUUAUAUGUGUGAUAGGCUCCUCUCCCUCAGAAAACAGCAGUGCACUGGAAAAUCAGCAUGCAUCCAAGGCAAUGUGUAGUUAUGUUUUUAGAGUAAAUUGUCCAAUGUCCACUUUGAUCCAGUCAACAGUUGCUUCUAGAUGAAGGCAGGGCACAUGCAUAGUCCCAGCUGACUCCCUUCUGUUGAACUAGGAUAUUUCUCAGUGGCACAGGCAAGGUACUAUAGACAGGAACUGCAUAUGAAGCAGCAUCUCCUUUAAAAUACGCAGUUGUCAUCUUUUAUCCAUUGGGGAAGACAUUCCAGGACCCAAUGGACCUCUGAAGGGUAACAAAUGCCAUAUAUAUUUGUGUUUUGUAUACUAUACAUAUAUACCUGUUAUGAAAUUUAUUAGUUAAGCACAAUAAAAAAUAAUAAAACAAUUUUAACAACAUACUGUAAUA